rnacentral:rRNA from 1 species
UACAGAGGUCCCAAGCGUUGUUCGGAUUCACUGGGCGUAAAGGGCGCGUAGGCGGCUUGGCAAGUGGAAGGUGAAAUCCCUCGGCUUAACCGAGGAACUGCCUUCCAGACUGCUUUGCUUGAGGCCGGGAGAGGCGAGUGGAAUUCCCAGUGUAGCGGUGAAAUGCGUAGAUAUUGGGAGGAACACCAGUGGCGAAGGCGGCUCGCUGGACCGGUUCUGACGCUGAGGCGCGAAAGCGUGGGGAGCAAACGGG